AACGCACGAGACCUGCGGACCUGCGGAGGGAUCAUUAGUGAACGCCCUCACGGGCUUAUAACUAUUCCAAACCUCUGUGAACCGUGCCCUUCGGGGCUAUUUUACAAACAUGGUGUAAUGAACGUCAUAUAUCAUAACAAAACAAAACUUUCAGCAAUGGAUCUCU
rnacentral:misc_RNA from 1 species